UGGCAAACAGCCUGCAGCUGUGCUGCCCAGGGAAUAGUGCUCACACAGCAAGGAAACAAGUCUCACACAGCAGGAAUAGCUCAUGGACUUGUUGGAGCUUGUGCAGAGCAGGACUCCUUUAAUCACCCUUUCUCAAGGGGUUGUCCCCUCUGCCAUAGUAUCUGACUGCCUCUAAUCUAUGAAUUUACACACAGCAUCACUGAUUUUUCUGGUAACCAGCUACUCAAUGGAAAAAUGAAGAGAAGCAGCAGCCCUGGUUGUGUACAGAGAAUCUGGCAUCUGGAGUUUGGCAUCUGUAAUCAGUCAAAGCCUGGCAGGGAUAUAACUGCCUGAAUGAGUUCUAGGCAUAGAGCAGAGGGUCAGAAUGAGGAACUGGAGAACAUGUGGUUGUGGCACUGUCUCUUUUAGCUUCAGCCUGCUCUAAACCUGUCUUGUGGUGACAGUGGGAGCAUGUGUGAGAACAAUUAUAGGACUGAAUAUCUGGCAGUUCUGCACCCAGCCUCUGCCUCAAAUCAGGCACCAGAAGUAUAGAACACACAUCUAAAAACUGCUUAUACAAAGAUCAGAACAAAUAACUUACUUGUGUGAAUUUUGAGGCUAAAAAGCAGUCCAGUUGCUAAAAAAAAAAAUACAGGGGCACAUCAGCCUCCUGUGCAAUUCCCUGCCACAUUUAAUUUUAUUGCAACGAGUAAAGCAGAUUACUUGGUAUGAGGAGUUCAAAGUUGUUUUGUGAACUCUGUGCACGUUUUGCAUGUCAACUAAAUUAUAGAUACAAUAAGGAGUCCGUUAAAUAUCCAUAGACCAAGAUACUAUAUAUAGGAGUUUAUGUUAUGAAGUGUUCUUCCUAAUUCAGCAGAUUUUAAAACCAUUUGACUGUGGUAUGAAAAUCAAAUACAUGCAAAUAUAGGAAGCAAUGAACAAAUGUGUGUUCAUGAAAUGAAAUUAGCACAAAAUUACAGUCUUAUCACAAAAAUCUACUGAAGCUUUCAUCUCUUAGACCCAACCACUUGAGUUGUUUCACUGAUGAAGAAAAUAGAUGAUGGCCAAGAGGGACAUUGUCUCUUCCUCUUCUGUUCCUGGGAGAGAAAGUAACAAGCAAAACUCCUCCAGCAUGUCAGCAAGACCACUGGCCAGGAUAGUGGCAAAACUGAGUUUGAGAUGCUCCAUGAAAUCUGAUGAAAUUUAGCAGCUUUACAGGCCAAGGAUUUCACCCUUCAACAGCACUGGGAUUGUUCUCAAUUUUCAUGUUGAGAAGCUCCCAAUAGCUAGGAGCUGGGAGCCGGGAAAUGGGGGCUGGGAGCAACACAGAGAUAUCUUCAAAGGUAUGCACAUUUUCAUUAGGAAUUCCUCUGAUUUAGGAAUUCAUCUGUGUGCUUCUCCUUCUUUGAGGACAGCACAAGUGCAAACAGUGAAAUCAGAAAAUUAACCUUCAGGAGGCAGGAGAUCUCUGGUAGACACAGUAGAGGUUAAUAACCUUCCUCUGUGAUGCACUUCUUUUGAGAGCUCUGCACUAGCAGCUUGCUCCUGCAGUGCAGGGGCAAGUGAAGGCAGAAAUUAGGAGGGGUGCCAGGCAGUAAUGGACUGAGCCAUUUGCGUGCCUGUUUUUCCAUUCAGCAGACCCUGAGAGCAGGGCUGAUCAGCAGAGCAGACCAGGAAAUGUUGCAUCAUUGAGAUUAUUGAACUCAUUAUGUACAUAAAAUUACCAGAUAGUCCUAUACAUGCUGCUGAGUAAAAAUUCAAGUAAUAACUCCCUAUGGAUGUAAGUAUACAGAAAGAGAUACGAUUUUUGUUAAAUUUGAUCAACAAUUUGGACCAAAUAAAUUUGGUCCAAAUGAACUUAUUUGAAAUAUCUGGUGUCUGAAAUAGCCUACAAUUAAAAGAGAUAUUUGGUUCUGAAAUAUAUCCUGAAAACAUUCAACUGUCCUAGCCUCCUGAGAAUUUCAUUACCUAUUUGCAUAUGAUGCUGCACAGGAAGUCAGGAUCUCUUCCUGUAAAGAAGGCAGCACCCUCUCCACUCAGUUAAUUUAAUUUUUUCAACUAUUAAAACAUUUUCAAAAUCUUAAAGCAUGGUAUUUUACUUGCCAGCUGUGUUACUGAAAGCCCUGUGGUUGUGUCAGGGAUGGAUACAUGCAACCACUCUAUGGUGACGCAUACAUGA